rnacentral:rRNA from 1 species
AUUGAAUGCUAAAAGAAUGGAAAUUUAAAAAAAAACUUUUUUAAAAAUAAAAAUUGAAUUUUUUUUAAUUUGUGCAAAAACAAUUAUAUUUAUUAAAGACAAGAAGACCCUAAGAAAUUAAGAUUUUACAAUUAAAAAGUUUUUUUUUUAAAAUCUUGAUUGGGGCGAUCAAAAAAUAUUAACAACUUUUUAAAAUUAAAAUUGAUCUAUUAUUAAUAAACUAAUGAAUUAAAUCCUCCAGGGAUAACACCGUAAUAAUUUUGGAUAGACCUUAUGGCCAAAAUACUUGGCGACCCCAAUGUGGGAUUAGGAUUCUUUUUUCAGGAAGAAGUUAAAAAACAAAGUUUGUUCAACUUUCAAUCUC